GGGUUGUGAGGUUAAGCGACUAAGCGUACACGGUGGAUGCCCUGGCAGUCAGAGGCGAUGAAGGACGUGCUAAUCUGCGAUAAGCGUCGGUAAGGUGAUAUGAACCGUUAUAACCGGCGAUUUCCGAAUGGGGAAACCCAGUGUGAUUCGUCACACUAUCAUUAACUGAAUCCAUAGGUUAAUGAGGCGAACCGGGGGAACUGAAACAUCUAAGUACCCCGAGGAAAAGAAAUCAACCGAGAUUCCCCCAGUAGCGGCGAGCGAACGGGGAGGAGCCCAGAGCCUGAAUCAGUGUGUGUGUUAGUGGAAGCGUCUGGAAAGGCGCGCGAUACAGGGUGACAGCCCCGUACACAAAAAUGCACAUACUGUGAGCUCGAUGAGUAGGGCGGGACACGUGGUAUCCUGUCUGAAUAUGGGGGGACCAUCCUCCAAGGCUAAAUACUCCUGACUGACCGAUAGUGAACCAGUACCGUGAGGGAAAGGCGAAAAGAACCCCGGCGAGGGGAGUGAAAAAGAACCUGAAACCGUGUACGUACAAGCAGUGGGAGCCUCUUUUAUGGGGUGACUGCGUACCUUUUGUAUAAUGGGUCAGCGACUUAUAUUCUGUAGCAAGGUUAACCGAAUAGGGGAGCCGAAGGGAAACCGAGUCUUAACCGGGCGUUAAGUUGCAGGGUAUAGACCCGAAACCCGGUGAUCUAGCCAUGGGCAGGUUGAAGGUUGGGUAACACUAACUGGAGGACCGAACCGACUAAUGUUGAAAAAUUAGCGGAUGACUUGUGGCUGGGGGUGAAAGGCCAAUCAAACCGGGAGAUAGCUGGUUCUCCCCGAAAGCUAUUUAGGUAGCGCCUCGUGAAUUCAUCUCCGGGGGUAGAGCACUGUUUCGGCAAGGGGGUCAUCCCGACUUACCAACCCGAUGCAAACUGCGAAUACCGGAGAAUGUUAUCACGGGAGACACACGGCGGGUGCUAACGUCCGUCGUGAAGAGGGAAACAACCCAGACCGCCAGCUAAGGUCCCAAAGUCAUGGUUAAGUGGGAAACGAUGUGGGAAGGCCCAGACAGCCAGGAUGUUGGCUUAGAAGCAGCCAUCAUUUAAAGAAAGCGUAAUAGCUCACUGGUCGAGUCGGCCUGCGCGGAAGAUGUAACGGGGCUAAACCAUGCACCGAAGCUGCGGCAGCGACACUGUGUGUUGUUGGGUAGGGGAGCGUUCUGUAAGCCUGUGAAGGUGUGCUGUGAGGCAUGCUGGAGGUAUCAGAAGUGCGAAUGCUGACAUAAGUAACGAUAAAGCGGGUGAAAAGCCCGCUCGCCGGAAGACCAAGGGUUCCUGUCCAACGUUAAUCGGGGCAGGGUGAGUCGACCCCUAAGGCGAGGCCGAAAGGCGUAGUCGAUGGGAAACAGGUUAAUAUUCCUGUACUUGGUGUUACUGCGAAGGGGGGACGGAGAAGGCUAUGUUGGCCGGGCGACGGUUGUCCCGGUUUAAGCGUGUAGGCUGGUUUUCCAGGCAAAUCCGAAAAAUCAAGGCUGAGGCGUGAUGACGAGGCACUACGGUGCUGAAGCAACAAAUGCCCUGCUUCCAGGAAAAGCCUCUAAGCAUCAGGUAACAUCAAAUCGUACCCCAAACCGACACAGGUGGUCAGGUAGAGAAUACCAAGGCGCUUGAGAGAACUCGGGUGAAGGAACUAGGCAAAAUGGUGCCGUAACUUCGGGAGAAGGCACGCUGAUAUGUAGGUGAAGUCCCUCGCGGAUGGAGCUGAAAUCAGUCGAAGAUACCAGCUGGCUGCAACUGUUUAUUAAAAACACAGCACUGUGCAAACACGAAAGUGGACGUAUACGGUGUGACGCCUGCCCGGUGCCGGAAGGUUAAUUGAUGGGGUCAGCGCAAGCGAAGCUCUUGAUCGAAGCCCCGGUAAACGGCGGCCGUAACUAUAACGGUCCUAAGGUAGCGAAAUUCCUUGUCGGGUAAGUUCCGACCUGCACGAAUGGCGUAAUGAUGGCCAGGCUGUCUCCACCCGAGACUCAGUGAAAUUGAACUCGCUGUGAAGAUGCAGUGUACCCGCGGCAAGACGGAAAGACCCCGUGAACCUUUACUAUAGCUUGACACUGAACAUUGAGCCUUGAUGUGUAGGAUAGGUGGGAGGCUUUGAAGUGUGGACGCCAGUCUGCAUGGAGCCGACCUUGAAAUACCACCCUUUAAUGUUUGAUGUUCUAACGUGGACCCGUGAUCCGGGUUGCGGACAGUGUCUGGUGGGUAGUUUGACUGGGGCGGUCUCCUCCUAAAGAGUAACGGAGGAGCACGAAGGUUGGCUAAUCCUGGUCGGACAUCAGGAGGUUAGUGCAAUGGCAUAAGCCAGCUUGACUGCGAGCGUGACGGCGCGAGCAGGUGCGAAAGCAGGUCAUAGUGAUCCGGUGGUUCUGAAUGGAAGGGCCAUCGCUCAACGGAUAAAAGGUACUCCGGGGAUAACAGGCUGAUACCGCCCAAGAGUUCAUAUCGACGGCGGUGUUUGGCACCUCGAUGUCGGCUCAUCACAUCCUGGGGCUGAAGUAGGUCCCAAGGGUAUGGCUGUUCGCCAUUUAAAGUGGUACGCGAGCUGGGUUUAGAACGUCGUGAGACAGUUCGGUCCCUAUCUGCCGUGGGCGCUGGAGAACUGAGGGGGGCUGCUCCUAGUACGAGAGGACCGGAGUGGACGCAUCACUGGUGUUCGGGUUGUCAUGCCAAUGGCACUGCCCGGUAGCUAAAUGCGGAAGAGAUAAGUGCUGAAAGCAUCUAAGCACGAAACUUGCCCCGAGAUGAGUUCUCCCUGACCCUUUAAGGGUCCUGAAGGAACGUUGAAGACGACGACGUUGAUAGGCCGGGUGUGUAAGCGCAGCGAUGCGUUGAGCUAACCGGUACUAAUGAACCGUGAGGCUUAACCUUACAACGCCGAAGGUGUUU
rnacentral:rRNA from 2 species